rnacentral:snRNA from 1 species
GUGCUCACUUCAGCAGCACAUGUGCUAAAAUUGGAACGAUACAGAGAAGAUUAGCAUGGUCCCUGAGCAAGGAUGACACGGACAUUUGUGAACUGUUCCAUAAAAUA